rnacentral:rRNA from 1 species
GACGAACGCUGGCGGCGUGCCUAAUACAUGCAAGUCGAACGAACCGCGACUGAGUGCUUGCACUUGGUCAAGGUGAGUGGCGAACGGGUGAGUAACACGUGGGUAACCUACCUCAUAGUGGGGGAUAACAGUCGGAAACGACUGCUAAUACCGCAUAGGACAUAGGAUCACAUGAUCCAGUGAGGAAAGGUGGCGCAAGCUAUCGCUAAGAGAUGGACCCGCGGUGCAUUAGCUAGUUGGUAGGGUAAAGGCCUACCAAGGCGAUGAUGCAUAGCCGACCUGAGAGGGUGAUCGGCCACAUUGGGACUGAGACACAGCCCAAACUCCUACGGGAGGCAGCAGUAGGGAAUCUUCCGCAAUGGACGCAAGUCUGACGGAGCAACGCCGCGUGAGUGAAGAAGGUCUUCGGAUCGUAAAGCUCUGUUGUUAGAGAAGAACAGCGCAUAGAGUAACUGCUAUGCGUGUGACGGUAUCUAACCAGAAAGCCACGGCUAACUACGUG